rnacentral:rRNA from 1 species
GAUGAGCGCUGGCGGCGUGCCUAAUACAUGCAAGUCGAGCGAACGGACGAGAAGCUUGCUUCUCUGAUGUUAGCGGCGGACGGGUGAGUAACACGUGGAUAACCUACCUAUAAGACUGGGAUAACUUCGGGAAACCGGAGCUAAUACCGGAUGAUAUUUUGAACCGCAUGGUUCAAAAGUGAAAGACGGUCUUGCUGUCACUUAUAGAUGGAUCCGCGCUGCAUUAGCUAGUUGGUAAGGUAACGGCUUACCAAGGCAACGAUGCAUAGCCGACCUGAGAGGGUGAUCGGCCACACUGGAACUGAGACACGGUCCAGACUCCUACGGGAGGCAGCAGUAGGGAAUCUUCCGCAAUGGGCGAAAGCCUGACGGAGCAACGCCGCGUAAGUGAUGAAGGUCUUCGGAUCGUAAAACUCUGUUAUUAGGGAAGAACAUAUGUGUAAGUAACUGUGCACAUCUUGACGGUACCUAAUCAGAAAGCCACGGCUAACUACGUG